GACAGAGGGUGCAAACGUUGUUCGGAAUUACUGGGCGUAAAGCGCGUGUAGGCGGCUACGUGUGUCGGGCGUGAAAUCCCAUGGCUCAACCAUGGAAGUGCACCCGAAACUGCGUAGCUAGAGUCCUGGAGAGGAAGGUGGAAUGCUUGGUGUAGAGGUGAAAUUCGUAGAUAUCAAGCGGAACACCGGUGGCGAAGGCGGCCUUCUGGACAGUGACUGACGCUGAGACGCGAAAGCGUGGGGAGCGAACAGG
rnacentral:rRNA from 1 species